rnacentral:rRNA from 1 species
CCUACGGGAGGCAGCAGUAGGGAAUAUUGCUCAAUGGGGGAAACCCUGAAGCAGCAACGCCGCGUGGAGGAUGAAGGUUUUCGGUUUGUAAACCCCUUUUGUUAGAGAAGAUAAUGACGGUAUCUGACGAAUAAGCCCCGGCUAACUCCGUGCCAGCAGCCGCGGUAAGACGGAGGGUGCAAGCGUUACUCGGAAUCACUGGGCGUAAAGAGAGCGUAGGCGGGUUAGCAAGUCAGAGGUGAAAUCCUAUGGCUUAACCAUAGAACUGCAUUUGAAACUGUUAUUCUAGAGUGUGGGAGAGGUAGGUGGAAUGCUUGGUGUAGGGGUAAAAUGCGUAGAGAUCAAGAGGAACACCAAUUGCGAAGGCGACCUGCUAGACCAUAACUGACGCUGAUGCGCGAAAGCGUGGGGAGCAAACAGGAUUAGAUACCCUAGUAGUC